GGGAAGCCCGUCCGACGCGUACGCUGCAGGGGCCUUCAAUAGGGGCUGUCGCCACCUGCACCCGCGCCGCUGCGGUUCGCAGGAAACUCCUGUGGCUUUUCGGAAGCACAAUGCAGAACGCCCGGUGAGGGUUUGCAAAGCCGCCCUGGGAGAUGCCGCAGUGUGAAACCUUUACGGUUGCACCUGGCCUCUCUGCUGCAUCUGGCCUGUCUGCUGCACCUGGCCUCUCUGCCCCACCUGGCCUCUCUGCCCCACCUGGCCUCUCUGCUGCAUCUGGCCUCUGCUGCGCCUGGCCUGUCUGCUGCAUCUGGCGCCUGUUGCACCUGGCCUCUUGGCUGCAACUGGCCUCUCAGCUGCGCCUCUUUGUUGCCUCUGCAAACUCGGGUGCCCUGGAGCUUCCUACCCAGAAGUGAGUGCCGUGCACACUGCAGGUGCGAGGUGCCCCUCCUUCUGUCUGUUCUGUUUGGUUUGGCAGAUGACAGCACUCUCAGUGGGGCCUGAAACCUUGACAGUCAUGGCUUUCUUUGUAAGGACUCUCUUCCUUCAUUAAAUCGCUUGUAUUUGGAUUACAGAGAUCUGUCAUAAAGAGAUUCAGUACUUAAUAAUAACGUGGGGAAAGGAUCACCAGGUACUGUUAAGAAAAAAGCAAGGACAGAACAGUGAAUACGGUAAUGAUCUUGUUUCGUAAUACAAAACAAAACAGACACUAUGCAAAUACAAACCCAAAGGAAAAUGAUCAUGCAUAAAAAUACUGUUUUUGGGCCGGGGGCUGUGGCCCAUGCCUAUAAUCCCAGCACUUUGGGAGGCCAAGGCAGGAGGAUCACUUGAGUCCAGGAGUUCAAGAUCAGCCUCGGCAACAAAGCGUGACUUCGUCUCUACAAAAAUUAAAAAGAAAUUAGCCAGGCGCUGGUGUGGGCCUGUAGUCUCGGCUACUUGAAAGGCUGAGGUAUGAGGAUUGCUGGAGCCCAGGAGGUCAAGGCUGCAUUGAGCUAUGAUUGUGCCACUGCACUCUAGGCUGGGCGACAGAGCUGGGCCCCAUCUCUCUCUCUCUCUAGAAAGAUAGUUUUUGGAUUGUUGGAUUGUACAGGUGAUAAUAAUUUUCUUUAUUUUACUUAUCUGUUCCGAAUAGUUUUCCACAGUAAACAUGUUUUUUUUUCUAAGAAGAAGGGAUAAUAAAUGUUUAUUUUUUGAAAGGAACAUAGAUCGGCUGGGCGUGGUGGCUCACGCCUGUAAUCCCAGCACUUUGGGAGGCGGAGGCGGGCAGAUCACGAGAUCAGAAGACCAGCCUGGCCAAUGUGGUGAAACCCCGUCACUACUAAAAAUAAAAAAAAAUUAGCUAGGCACGGUGGCACACACCUGUUGUCCCAGUUACUCGGGAGGCUGAGGCAGGAGAAUUACUUGAACCGGGAGGCGGAGGUUGCAGUGAGCCGAGAUGGUGCCACUGCACUCCAGCCUGGGCAACAGAAUGAGACUCCAUCUCAAAAAAAUAAAUCAAUAAAAGGAACAUAGAUCACAACACCAGAGGGAAGAGACCCAGCAGACGGGUCCUAUGCAGAAACUUGCUCCCCAGUGAUCCACAAGUCACCCAGGAGGUAAAGUAUAUGCAAGCCACAUCAGUGUUCCAGGAUGAGGGUUGCCAUUAACAAGUUUGUUUCCAGCCCUGAAAUCUGUUCCCAUUUGAACAAAUAUUACUCUUAGGAAUAGUAUAGGGCUCCCCCACCAAGAUGGUUUAAGCAAAGGUCAUAGGCCCUGCCUGUCUAAAAAUGUAACCCUGAAGUUCUUUUUGGGUGAAAGCAUUGUUAGGUGUCUCAGACAAGGACUGUUCUAUUCAACACGGAAGCACGCGUUUGCUUGUGAGCUGUUACUGCAGACUUGCCUGAGAUGCAUCCAGCCCAGAAGGGCAGGCACAGUGGGCAGCUUGUGUAUGGAGGGAGAUCAACCGGGAGAAGACACAAAGAUACAUUUUUGAGACUUUAUUAUUUCCCAUCUAAAAGUCCACCCCUAUUCUAGUGGCCAGAAUUGACUGCAGAGAAGGCAGGGUGCCCAGGAAGGGGACUGUAUGGUAAACACAGCAUUAUCACUGCCACAGGAGCCUGGUAGGGCUCAGCUGAAACUCCACCUCCCUCCACAGCCUUCAGGGGUCCUUCUUGUCCUAUGGACUCUUCUGGCAUUUCCUGUGUGGAUGCCCAUCUCAUACCUUUACAUUUUUAAAUUUUAUUUAUUUGAGAUGGAGUCUUACUCUGUCACCAGGCUGGAGUGCAGUGGCACUAUCUCAGCUCACUGCAACUUCCACCUCCCAGGUUCAAACAAUUUUCCUGCUUCAGCUUCCUAAGUAGCUAGGAUUGCAGGCGUCCGCCACCCUGCCCAGCUAAUUUUUGUAUUUUUAGUAGAGGUGGGGUUUCAUCAUGUUGGUCAGGCUGGUCUCGAACUCCUGACCACAGGUGAUCUGCCCUCCGUGGCCUCCCAAAGUGCUGGUGAGAGGUGAAGCCGGCUGGGCUUCUGGGAUGGGUGGGGACUUGGAGAACUUAUUUGUCUAGCUAAAGGAUUGUAAACG
rnacentral:lncRNA from 1 species